rnacentral:rRNA from 1 species
GGGCCCGCACAAGCGGUGGAGUAUGUGGUUUAAUUCGAUGCAACGCGAAGAACCUUACCAGGGUUUGACAUCCUGCGAAUCUCUUGGAAACGAGAGAGUGCCUUCGGGAGCGCAGUGACAGGUGGUGCAUGGCUGUCGUCAGCUCGUGUCGUGAGAUGUUGGGUUAAGUCCCGCAACGAGCGCAACCCACGUCUUUAGUUGCCAGCAUUUAGUUGGGCACUCUAGAGAGACCGCCGGUGAUAAACCGGAGGAAGGUGUGGAUGACGUCAAGUCAUCAUGCCCCUUACAUCCUGGGCUACACACGUGCUACAAUGGUAUCUACAACAGGAAGCAAAACGGCAACGUUAAG